rnacentral:lncRNA from 1 species
GCUUAUCACACUUGACUUAUUUCCUUGAGUUUGACCCAGAAUGGCUUAUACUGCAGAAGGACAAUCCUCUUUGAAGAUGUUCCCCUCAAGGGCUCCUCACCACGUCAGGGACUGCCAUUAAUCAAGGACAGUUGAGCCUGUGAUCUGCAGAAUACAGAUAUUUCCCACAUAACAUUGUGCAGAUUAAAGUACUGGAGGGAACUUGUCAGAGCAUCUGUAACUGAAGGUGGAGAAGGUAAAAAGGAGUUACAAGAGCUCCCUGUUGCCGCUAUCAUCUCUAAAACUGGUUUGCCUUCAUUAAACAUAUAUGAUAAAAUAGCAUUGUCUCAUUAAGCAUAUGUUAGAUUUUAGUAGGAAAAAUGACUCAGAAACAUGCUGACUUAGGGAAAAUAAGUAAUGAUUUUAAAAUAGCAAUGACUAAUCCCCAAAUUGGAUAAUACAAGUAUGGAUAAUUUAGAAUUGACUAUACAUAGAAAAGAUUUGUGGAGCCUACAAAAAUUAAAAUCAAAUUUAAUUUGGGCAAAAUAAAUCUCAAAAAUAUCCCA